rnacentral:rRNA from 1 species
AUGGCGUUGGGCAAACGCUUGCCUGCACUGCCGUUGGGGGAAGAGGGACUUCUUCGUCCCACCGUUGAGGAGUUUCUCGCCAUUGGCUACACGCAUCCACCACGACAGCCCAAGAAGUUAUCGCGUUAUCUGCAGAAGCAGAUCGAUGUAAGCAUCUCACAUGUGAUGGCUGAGAUUUUGGGUUGUGUGGUGUUUAAUUAUGCUUGUUUGUUUGGAACUACAGGUGUUGUGUCGGGGAUUACAUAUUUUCCUUUGGUCAUUGAUUUAACUAAGUUGAUUUUGCACAUUGGGUUGUGGUGUUUAAUUCUGCCUGUUUCUGAGUUGAUUCUGCACAUGGAUAAAUACUUUGGUGGAUGA